rfam:Capsicum annuum cultivar Zunla-1 chromosome 4, whole genome shotgun sequence
UGAUGAUGGUGAGGGCAAUUUCUGAGCAUAUUCUUAAACCGUUCCUAAGAUUAGUAGAGAUUCUUUCCUUCCUUCUGUCUGAAACUCAGAAUCUCACUUCUCAAAUG